AGUGGUUUCAACUUAUAUAACUUCCAUGUGGAAAGCUAAGGGGAACAUAGAAACCAAACCCUCUUAUUGUACCACCUGAGAGCAGCUGCUCUUUCGGGGGUUGCUGGUACAUUGCCUAGGACCCUGGAGAUCUUUCAUUUUUCCUAAAAAUCCUGAAUUCUUUCCAAAGACCAACAAAACCAUGAAAGUCAAACUUACACAAACUAAUUUCUAAUGGUAGUGAGAGGAGGAAAUCCAGUUUAAUCUCCUUUUUAAAGUACACGAACACCUGGAACUAGUUCACCUAACAGUCAGCAAAGGGUCUAGAGAGAACCAACAUCAAAUGGGCAACAGAAUUGUUUUCUGUAGUAAAUCAUGGAUGGUGCAAUAAUUUUGUUUUUCUUUUGAAAUAGCCUAGAGGCAAAUGAGAAUAUUAGGCUGAACAUUGUAAAUUACAGACAGUUAGGAACCAAGGUUGAUAAGGACUAAAGAUGCAAUUUUGAAACUAAAACAAACAAAAAACUGCUAUCUCGCUUGGUUAUGGGAGGGCAUUGAGAAUCACUGAAGGUCUGUCAAGUAUUAUACUAAGCAUAUUAUAGGUGCUUUGUCAUCUGAUUUUUUUAUCACUUCUGUGGGAAGGAAUUAUUUCAACCUAAUUUUUUCUUCUGAAGAAACUGACAGAUACAUGAAAUAUCUUCCUAAAGGUCACCUGACUGAAAAGGGGUAAAUUUAGGAUCAAAUCUCAGGUGUGUCUCUACUUUUUUUAAACACACCACACUCUAUUUUGAGGUGUUUAUAAUAUUUCUUUUAGAUGUAUGAAUAUACAAAUGGUAAAAAUGGGUUGCACCAUUCUUAAAAUAUUGGCAGUUAAAUGAAAAAUAUUGUAAAAAUCUUUUACAUGCCUAACAUUGAUUACUCCUCUGAGAAAGUUUCUACAUGAUUGAAUUUGUGUGGCCAAAUGAAAAGACCUGUGUUUUAGAAGAGAAAAGUAAUGAAUAAUUUGAUGAUUGUGCAGUGUUUCUAUCCAGUUAUUUAGAACUCAGCUUAUUUGAAUUGCUUUAGCAGAGGGAUCACAACAAUAUAUUUUUUAAAUAAAUGUUUAUAACAUUGGCUGUAUCUUUAAAUAGAGAAAAAUUUCUAGACUCACAAUGAGCAGAGGAAUUUAAGAAAAUUAGCAUAGUUAAAACUCAGAUGUCCAGCAAGUUUGUAUUAUAUUUCUUUUGUGCCUCAUAAGAUGUGAAUAAGAUAAUCCAAAUAAUUUUAUUUUUAGACAUUUGAAUGAGAAUCUCCCUUUAAAAUCCACAUUGCCAUGCCAUAUGUGAUCAUUUUAUGAGUAAAAUUUUACCUUUCCUAGAAUCCAAGAGCAAUACUUAAACAUCAGCUACUGAGUUAUCCUGUUAACUGCCAUUGGUGCAAUUUUUAUGAAAUACAAACUUGAGUAAUAACUGGUCCUAGAUUUAAAAAAACAGAAACAAAAAUUACCCAUUUAGUUGUAAUAAUAAAAUAUUUUUAAGUCCUCUAUAACUGGAAUAAAAUAACCAACCACUAUGUGUAUCUGAUUCACCUGCAUUCUCAUUUCAACCGCAUGGUGAAGGUGAAACUCCUGCUCAAUGCAUGAUCUUUGUCAUGGGGUGGAGCUUACCAGGACUUACGAAUGUUUACAGACUAACCUUUUCCUUCUUGGACUCCUAUAUUUUUCCUAGUACAUGUGCUGCUGAAGUAAGCAUUCUCCUUUGACUUUUUUCUUUCAUUUUAUUAUUAUUUUUUCAGUUUUUACUUUCAAAUUUCUGUGGGUACUCCUCUCAUUUUAGAAUCUCAAAAUAGCACUUGGUCACCACAUGUCUGUUUCUUCUGUUUUCAAGGUUAAUUUAACUCCUCUGGCUCCCCUGAGCUAACACUGAUUCCCAAAGAGAAGGUGUCCUUAACUCAAAGUUAGAAAUAUAACCAAAGUCCCUAAGUUUCCUCAAGCAUCUCCUUCUAGCAUGUCUUUCUGAACUCAGUCUUAUCAGAAAUUUCUCCUGCAAAAAUACUUUCCUGGCAUGUACCUUCUAAUUUUAUUCAAGAAUGUAGCAGGAAGUUCACAAAGCACUGAUGAAGUGUCUGUUACAUGGAAGAUGCUCUUAGGUGCUACACACACAAAGGUAGCUAAGACACAUGCUCAUCCCCCAAGAUGCCUGUGUUAAAGUGGGGGGCAGGGACAUAAAGACAUAAUAUAUAGAGAGAUGAUUGUAAAAUGAUGUAUAUGAGAUUCAAUCAAAGCAAAGAUGUUGUUGAAAAGUAAAUCUCAAAGUGUGUUUAAGAUUCUAAGAAUAUGGGAAUGAGCAUGAUAGGCAGUGGGCUGAGAGAUGUGCAAAUAAAUGCUGUGUUUAGGACCCAUGUGCAGUUAAAUAAUGUUGAUCAUAGAAGAGACGGAGGUGGGGAGUGGAAGGAGAACAGGUUGUAAGGGUGAGAACCAGAUCAGGAAUGAGACCAUGCUAGGGAAUCAGACUUGAUUUUACACAUGAUGGGGUGAUUUUGGAGUGUGUUUAUUUUAGAUAAAUUAUUCUGUAGCAACAGUGCAGAAGAGAUAUUUGAAAGGGGUAACACUGGAAGCAGGGAAACUAGUUAGGAAGUGAUUAUUAAUUGUCUAAGCUGGAUAGGAUAAAGCUUUAGACUGGGUCCAGAGUGAUAGAAAUGGAGGAGAGAAAGCUUAGAGAAAUAUUUAUUAAAUAUACAUGGUAUGGAGAGUUGUAAAUGUUUACAUUGAGCAGCAGGAACAGAUACAGAUUUUGUGGGGCCUGAAAAGAAAGUAAAAUUAUUAAUUUAAAAGUAGGUAUGAAUGUAAAUAUUUAUAUAAAAUGAGAGAAGAAAUCACAAAGUUACACACUUUUAAAAAUGAUAGAAGCCACAAACCUCACAAAAUUGGGAAUUCUUAAAUGUAUUUUAUAUAAGCACAAACUCAAUAUUUCUUCAGUUCAACUUCCCUUUAGCCAUAUUCCCAAACUAUCUAUAUUCAUUCCAGUAUCUCCCAACAUGAAGAAAUAUGACAGAGAUAAAAUCAGAAUUCAAAGAGAAUCAGGAGCAAGCAAGAUACAUCCCAGAACCUUUUGUUCUUGGUGGUAAAUUAAGCAAUCACAUCUGGCAAAAGUCACCCCUUGCUAUUUCUUCUCUGCAUAAAAUGUUUUCCAUUUUAAACCAAGAAGAUUCUAAAUUAUCAGGAAUUACAUGUUGUUGGCUAUAAGAGUGGAAUAAUGACUGUAAUGAGGGAGGCUAUUCAAUGAGGAAAGAAAUGUGUAACAUUGGUUCACUUAGGAGUAUUAUUCCCCUCUACUAUUCAUUCUUUUAGCGCCUUCCUGAAUAGAAUAUCCUCCAAUAUUCAGGUACAAUGGGAUCUAGUAUGGUCUUUAAGAACCAAAAAACUUGAAAUCUAUAAUGAGUCAAUGCACAUAAACUUUUCUGAACUUUAUUUAGAUUUUUAUCUAAUUUGAUAUGUAUGCACAGAAACAAGAUAGCAAAACUAAGAAUAAGUCGGAUUUUAUAAGUUGUCUUAUUUAAAGAAUAGCAAAUAUUAACUUUAGGGUAUUAAUUCCUGUGAUUUUUUUUGACAUUUUUAAAGACAACCAGUGAUUCCAGUGAGAAAUGUGUCAAGACUGGUGAAACAUGCCAUCUAUGAAGCUUUCUGUUCUUCCUUUGAGAGACAGUACAGCAUAGAGGGAUUAAGUGCUGGAAUCCUGGAGUUUGACUGAUUUAGUCAGACCCCAGGCUGCUUACUGGUUAUAUUCUACCUAACCUUUAUUUGCCUCAGUUUCUUUUUCUGUUAAACAGAGAUAAUAAUGACACCGAUUUUACUGGGUUAUUGAGUGGAUUGUAGGGGUUAAUGUAUGAAAAUAUCUUAAAAGCAAUGCCUGGCACUUUACAUAAGCAUUAUAUAGGUUGUUAUUGUUGUUAUCCAAAGAGAAGGAAACGUAGUUUUUCUUAGACUAGCCUAGAAGUCCCUGUAUAACUGAGUCAGUCAGUUUUCCAAACUUUUUUCCUAGCUACUAUACCAGGUAUGCUAAGCUCUAGCCCAGUGUUGCUCAAAGUGUGUUCCAUAUGGAUGUUCUGAUAUGAUUUGUUAUGUACAGUAAGUAUAGAGGCGAAUUAAAUAUUUUUGAGGUGGCAGAAAGUUCCAUAUAGUUUUUCAUGCUUUAGACUCAUAACUCCAAGACUGUAUGGAUGGUCUCUGAAGAUGAUGGAGCAAUAUCCUUCCUAUUUGUUACCUUGAGCUUUCACUGAACAUAACAAUACUUGACUAUGCCAAGACUUUGGCCUUUCCUGCUUUUGUGAUAUAAGUUCAGACCCUUUGAAGAAGCUGUUAGUAAAUGCCAAUUAAAUAAAUUUCACCCCAACACUAGCUGUCCUGUCCUGCCAAGGGAAGUGUUGCUUGUUUACUUAGCACUUGUGAUCUUGUUAAUACGGGUGAUGGCUGUCUGUGGGUAUGAAAGGGCUAACAGCUAUUAAGUGACAAAUAAUUUCCAUAGGGCAUGGAUAUAAAUUCUUUCUUUGGAUGGUGUCUAGAGUUUGUCCUCGGCAGACCAUUUAAGGGUUGCUUCCAGUAUCCUUUUUUAUGUGUUGCCUCGAAGUAACGUGUCCCUUCACUCAAGCAGAAAGCUCACAGUUCUCUCAUUGUUGUACUUCUUGUACUGGCCUCUGAACACAAUGUUUAGGUGACUAUCAUUAGCACUUCCUUUGCCUUUUGGUCACUGAACUUCCAUUAUCCAGGCAUCACUUGUAUUUAUGAGUAAACUUUUCAUUUUGCACCACCCCCAUACACCAGGCCUUCUAGAUGAGUCGUUUCCUGACAGCUAAGGAGCAAUCAACUCCACUGUCCUCCUACAUAAUAAUGAAUAAUCUUUUCUGCAGUCAAUAAAACAGGCUCCCACGAUUGUAUCCUUUUAUGACUUGGAAAUGCUGGUGAAGAAUCUUGACCAGAUAUUAUUUGAUUUGGGAGAAUAGAACAAUGUAAAUAUGGUAUUCAAUAUGCUUUAAAAUAAUUAUCUGGAAGUUGUGACUAUCAUGCUAAACAUGAUUUAUGCUACAAAGAGAGUAGUCUAGGAGAAAUAAACCAUGAAAUUCAUGGGUGUUUAGUGAUAAAAGGAGUAAUAUAAUUGUCUAAUCUAGCUUCUUUAUUUUAGAGCUGUGGAUGCUGGGGCCAAGUAGAGCUGACUGAUCAAGGGCACAUAGUCACAGAGCAGUGGAUAUGCUGGAAUAGAGUCUUCUGAUUCACGGCCCAUUGCUCUUCAUUCUCAGAUGUUUUAUAACUGAUAAUAUAUUUGAAAAUAUCUAAAUAUUUUUGUUGGGAGGUUACUUGAGAUCACUUCCUUUUCACUGAUAGGUCAGAGGACACACAAGAAGUCCACUCUUAACAUAUCAGUAAGUCAGUGAUGGAUGAAGUGAAAGGUUAAGUGUAGAUGCCUCCACUUUUAAGUUAUAUUGUUGAGGAGAGAAGAGGAAAUGCUCAAUGAAUUAGAUCUCUGUCUUUAUUCAAUCUAUCUACUAUGAUCGAUCCAGUAAUGUAUUGGCCCCUGAACUUGGUGCUUUUACAUUUAAUACAUCUCCAUAUCUUAUAUUUGAGUUAACUUUUAAAUAUUAAUUACUUGUUAUUCUGAAAGUGGAAAGAGCAUAAGCCUAGAAUAAGGAGAUUAGGCUCUACUCUGAAUUCUACUGUGAACCUGAAUCCUAUUCAUGACAAAGUCACUACUCUGCCUCAGCUUCUUCACAUGUAAAAUUGAGGUGCCACUCUAAGUAGCAUCAUCUAAAAUUCAUUUCAGAUAUUAUGAAUGGAAAAGCUACACUGUCUGAAUAUUACAAUUGUCAGGUCAGUUACCAUCAUGCAUUUCAUACAUUUCCCAUGCCUGGUUGUUGGCAGAGGGACAAGAGUGGGAGUUUGGUGUCUGUGCUAGUAUUGCCAGCUGACGGGCUUUAAAACAGGAGUGGUAUGGUUUGAGUAGCAAAAAUACCUUCUUAGGGUGCCUCACCAAAUAACAGAGGGUGCUGAAGGGAAUGUCUAAGUACGAGACCUGGCUAUUUCUGGAGGUUUUUCAACUAGACCCACAUUUAAUAUUUACAAACAU